AGGACUGGCAGGCAUCCAGGCGCCAGGCGGAGCGCUGAGGGAGGCUCCCGCCGGCCGAACAGCGGGGAGACCCGUGAAGCAGGCGCACCGGCCACGCGCCCGGAGGGACAGGGACAGGGACCGGCAGGGGUGGGCCCGCCGCCAACCCGCCGGGCACCCCGCGGACUCGGGCCUAGCCAGCGACUCCCCCCGCCCUUCCCGCGCCCUGUCUCGCGCCCCGUCGCCUUCCUCCCGCGCCCCGUCGCCUUCCUCCCGCGCCCCGUCUCCCUCCUCCCGUGCCCCGUCUCCCUCCUCCCGUGCCCCAGGCCCUCAGCCCCCCACUUGACGGGCGCAGGGAAGGGGCGGGUGCCGCGCUCUCCUCCCGGCCCGCAGUCCCCUACCCGCGGCUCGAGCGCGCUGUACCUGGGGUUCUGGGGCCGCCCUCACCCUUGCGCCGCCGCCACCACCACUGCCGCCGGCCUAGCUCCCCCAGGACCGAAAGUGAAAGUGGAGCCCGGGGAGCGGCAGGCUGGCGCUGAGCGGCGCUUCGGCCCGAGCCCUAGCGGCAGGCGGGGAAGCCCCUGGCUAAGGCGGGAGCUGGGGAAAGGGUAAACGGGAGUGGGGCCGAGCGAGGGAAGCCGCAACUCCCAGGAAGGGAAUUGGUAAAUGAGCGCUGCACGCCGGGGAAGCUGCGAGGUUGCGAUGCGGGGGAUCAGGCGUAGGAAGUGCACGCCUUUCUGAACGCGGAUCCGUGUGUGUGUGUGUGUGUGUGUGUGUGUGUGUGUGUGUGUGUGUGUGUGUGUGUGUGUGUGUGUGUGUGUGUGUUGAGAUGCUUUUUGUUUUUGUCUUUUUUUUUUUUUCACUGUUUAGCGUUGCGAGGGUUAGGGGCAUGCAGGAAAGGGCCGGUGCUCAAGUUGGGGACCGAAGCCAGGCAGGCGCUGACAAGUCCACCAAGCCUAGACGCGUUCGACGCCCAUUGGACUCGCUGGGUGUCCGUCAUCUCGCCACUGCCAGUGGGCUGAGAGCUCUUGGCCCGCCUCGGAAAGAAACAUGAACCCAGUACUCUGUCGUGGCAAAGUGCCGCACCUUCUGGGGCUUCGGUAGAGAAUGACUACAGUGGGAGAUGCUGUAGAGGAGGAAGGCAUUUAUUUCACAAGAUACUGCUGUCUAAGGUAACCUGAGCAUGUUUCCAGUUCUUGCAGCCUUACAGAACCCAGGGAAUCCACCUGUCUCCAACCUUCCUCAGUAGGUGACAGGCCCAUCUAACUGCUCUCUAGCCAGUCUUCUGUAUUCCUGUUGCUUUUACCUUUGCUCGUGUCAACAAGGAGUUUCUGUGGGCUGCAAUCAAGAUGAUGACUGGAGCUGCAGUCUCACCUGAGGCCCAGCAGAAGGGAAGGAUCUGCUUCCAAGCUCACAUCAUUGUUCCAGCAUUCCGUUCCUCAUUGACUAUCGGAUUGAGAACCUCAGUGUUUUGCUGACUGUUUUCUGGAGGCUGCUCUCAGAUAUGACUAGUUCCUUGCCAUAUCCUAUGGGUUAGAAGCAAGUCACAGGUUUCUCUCACACUAAAAGAAAGGAAAUUAUGCAAGAGAAUGAAUACCAGGAGGCAAGGAUCAUGGGGGCAACUUAGAUUACGUCUGCCACACUAAUGUUACUGCACAUUGAAGAUAUUUCUACUAUUAUAAUCUUAGGAUUGGCAUAGUCUGUGUUUUUGAGGCAGGGAAGGAGACAUAUAUCAAAAAAAUAACUGGUGAGUGGAUAAUUGGGAAGAAAUUACAGAAGUGACUAGAUUCUAGAGACUAGAAAGAUUUGGUUCUUCAUUGAGCUGAAAAUAGGAAUAUCUCCCAAAUAAGAGAUAUUCAUGAGAAAUCAAUGAUAGCUUUUUUCCUGAUGGAAAAAUGAAUUAGCUUAUGCUCAUCAGAAGUGAUGCCAAAUUCAGGAGAAAGAAGGCAGCUGACAUCCUGACCAACAAAGAGACCAAGCCCCGAUAACUGGAUUUGAACAUCGGUGAAGAAGAUGAUUAAAGGUAGAAAGAGCCUUUACAGUCUAGAGAAAAUAGUAUAGGCCCAAUGGAAGCUCAAAGUUGAAGAGACUUUUAACAGAAAGACAAAGGAAAAGGUGUCCUUGGGACUAGGGGUCCGAGCAAGACCUGAAUUAUAAACUGAGCAGCCACAGAGAAGCACUACAGAUGUAGCUGAGUUAUCUAGGCCUAACACCAAAUAUUCUAGAAAGACCCAAAGUACUAACCAGCUCUGGCAGCAAGACCAGCCCAUGUCUACCUCUGCAGAACUUUGAGAAUCUUUGGCUGAUUUUUAUUACCUAACUCCCUGUCCAUAAGAGAAGGGAAAGAGACCAAGACUGAGUGGUUGGAUCAGCCAAAGAUGUCAAAAUUAAACUUCAGUUAAAUUAGCAAGAAUUCUGGGCUUUUCUGUUUCUGUAGCAUUGUGUUAGAUUUGUUUUUUCCCUUGGUUUUCCAGUCCUGGUGGUAGAUUGCUAAACUUUUAUAAAAUCUGUGUGAGUUUAGCAUUCUGACUGUUCCCAUUCUAAAAGAUGAAAAUAGAAAACUCAAAGUUUAUGUCACUAAUUUGAUCUUUGUAAAUGCACUGCUAAAUAAAACACCCAAACUAUUAAGGUGUUGUUGUUGUUGUUGUUGUUUGUUUUGUUUUUUAUUUUUUUUUUUUUUGAGAUGGGAUUUUGCUCUUGUUGCCCGGGCUGGAGUGCAAUGGUGUGAUCUCGGCUCACAGCAACCUCUGCCUCCCAUGUUCAAGCGAUUCUCCUGCCUCAGCCUCCUGAGUAGCUGGGAUUACAGGCAUGCGCCACCACAUCCGGCUAAUUUUUGUACUUUUAGUAGAGAUGGGGUUUCUUCGUGUUGGUCAGGCUGGUCUUGAACUCCUGACCUCAAAUUAUCCACCCACCUCGGCCUCCCAAAGUGCUGGGAUUACAGACACACUCAGCCAUUAAGGUGUUUUUAAUUCUUUUUUUUCUUUACUGUUUUUGUAAGCAGUAAUUUAUUAACAGAUGCAAUAAGUAAAUUGAAGCAAAAAAAUACAUCACAAUGCUUAAGAAACUUGCUUAACAGAAAAAAGAUUCCUGAGCCACACUCUGAAAAAUUCUGAUACUGUAAAUCUUGAGAGAUAAAUAGACACAUAUAUGUAUGUGUGGAUAGACGGAUGGAUGGAUAGAUAAAUGGAAAGAUAGAGAUCGAGAUAUAGCCUAAACUUCAUGGCAAGUAUAAGCUACUUUUGGGAAUUUAGGGGAAUAAAAAAUUAUUUUAUCACUGUUGUACUAGGAACAAAGCAGAUUUUCCACACGUUAGCCAGAAAAUGUAGGAGAAUCAGUGAACCUCAAAGGGCCAGCACUAAAAACUGGGCAGCAUCAGUAUCAGUUUUGGAUCCUAGAAAAACUAUUGGAGAUGAUGCAAACAGAAGAGGGAAGAAAGGUAGACAGAGUCUGGACUCAGCUGCAGUUUGUUGAUGACUAUCUGAAUCGUUCCCUUGCAUUCUUUCUUAACGAAUUAUACAUGUGAAAAUUGCACACUUGAAAAUUAAAAUAUGGGUAUGUACUGGAGGGAAAGCACUGAGAGAGGAGUUAGGGGCUGGAUAGGCAGAUAGAGAUGGAGGGUCUAGGGAGAAGGGACAGAAAGGAACAAUGUUCACAGGAACAACUGCAGGACAGCACCUACCCCGCCUCUGCAGCUAACAGGAAGAAAUGUGGUUAAGAACUUGCCCUUAUGCCAGGAUGUUGCUCAGCAGGGACGGUCUCAACUUAGGCACAGGUGCAACAAAUCAACCUAAAUGUCCUUAAUUUGACCCAGCUCACUAUAAUGCCAUUAACAUAACAUUAGCGUUGUGGUUUUAGGCACCUCCCACCAUGGGUUUCACUUAGGCAUUCAACCAGUUGGAGUCACUUUGGUCAACCUUAGGCAUGCGUAGAUAUAGUACCCCAGGAGGGAAUUUUAUCCCUCCCAUGUGGGCAAAACCCACAGAAGACUUCCUGGCUUCUGCCACAUAAAAGACACAGAACACAGACACCUUACUGGCAACCUGCUUUCAGGACCCCUCUCUUCGCUGAGAGCUUUCCUUUUGCUUAAUAAAUUUUACUCUGCCCUACUCA